GACGAACCGUGCGAACGUUGUUCGGAUUCACUGGGCAUAAAGGGCGCGUAGGCGGACGGUCAAGUCGGGGGUGAAAUCUUUCAGCUUAACUGGAAAAGUGCCUCCGAUACUGAUCGUCUCGAGGGAGGUAGGGGCAUGUGGAACUUCCGGUGGAGCGGUGAAAUUCGUAGAUAUUGGGAAGAACACCGGUGGCGAAGGCGGCGACCUGGUCCUUGACUGACGCUGAGGCGCAAAAGCGUGGGGAGCAAACAGG
rnacentral:rRNA from 1 species